CCAGGUCAGGCCGGAUCACCCGCUGAGUUUAA
rnacentral:rRNA from 1 species